UGCCCCCAGACUCUCAGCUUGGCCUGGCACCCCAGGGCCAUCUGAGAUAACUGACACGUUGAAACGCCGGGGCCCUCAAAGCCCUUGGCUCCCUUUCUUGACAUUCCAUAGGAUUUUAAUUUGUUCCUUGCUCUCUCUUCUUACGAGAAUGGAGUUAAAAUUUAACACUAAAAAAAAUGCAAACUCAAAGUGCCAUGGUCUCUAGCAAUGUGAGUGUUAAAACUUAAUACGAACCAAGAGAAAACCGAAAUAUCUAGAACAUAUUCUUUCCCUCUUGAACUCUUGUUUCCCUCUUGUUUCUCCUGUUUUUAUUCAUCCAUUCUCUUUUUCAGCUUGUAUUUCUUACAGUCUGAGUUGAAAUACAGGUGUAUAUAUUUUUAUUAAUUCAUUUAGUAUUUCAGUAGACUCCAAAGUACAGUAUGGCCCCCAGAAGCUGCCUCAAAUUAUACACUGGGAUGCAGAAAGAAAAUACUAGAAUACUUAUUAUUAAUUUUUUAUGUCAUCUUUUUAGAUUGCUAUUUUUCUGUUUUAUAACACCUGCAUCAGUGUAUUUCAUGUAUGCAGUUGAUGAACUUGCAUAGACGAGGAGUCGUGCUCAAACAGCUGAUGGGCUGAACAAUGAAGCCAGUUUGGAGAACAUGGAUUUGCUUCAUGCUUUCUCGAGCGCAAACGCCGCUGGUGUGCAACUGGGCUUGCAGUGACCGUGUGUCCCGAAGCUCCUCUCCAGCGCGUCCAGGGAGCGAGGCAUCCCUCGCAGAAGGCUUCUCUCCUUCCCCGGGCGCGGGGCUGGCUGCCCGCUGAUGCCCCACUGCGUCCUCGCUCCCGCUGGUCUCGUUUGCCUGUCGCCUUGCCCAGACGAUGCCAGGCUGGAAACGCAGCCAUGUGUAGCUGGGGCUGCUUCACUGCACGAUCAACUUUGGAGAGUUGGAAGAAAACCCUGAGUUCCUCUGACACUCAUUUUUACCUAAACAAUAAAGAAACUAGCUUUAGCA